GCCGGAAUAGCUCAGUUGGUUUAGCGUUAGACUGAAGUUGUUUACGCAACAGUCAUCUAAAGGCCCACCCCCCGAAUCAAUCCCGGGUUCCGGCA
rnacentral:tRNA from 1 species